rnacentral:rRNA from 1 species
GAUGAACGCUGGCGGCGUGCUUAACACAUGCCAGUCGAACGAGAAAUGGAGACGGAAACCUUCGGGCGGAAGGCUUCAUUUCGAGUGGCGGACGGGUGAGUAACGCGUGGGUAACCUGCCUCAUACAGGGGGAUAACAGUUGGAAACGACUGUUAAUACCGCAUAAGACCACAGCACCGCAUGGUGCGGGGGUAAAAACUCCGGUGGUAUGAGAUGGACCCGCGUUCGAUUAGCCAGUUGGCGGGGUAACGGCCCACCAAAGCGACGAUCGAUAGCCGAUCUGAGAGGAUGACCGGCCACAUUGGGACUGAGACGCGGCCCGAACUCCUACGGGAGGCAGCAGUGGGGAAUAUUGCACAAUGGGGGAAACCCUGAUGCAGCGACGCCGCGUGAGUGAAGAAGUACUUCGGUAUGUAAAGCUCUAUCAGCAGGGAAGAAAAUGACGGUACCUGAGUAAGAAGCCCCGGCUAACUACGUG